AAGGAGAAAAAAAAUAGCAACAAAACAUGUUGACCUCUCUCCAAAUCAUAGAAUGUCCUGGGUUGAAAAGGACGACAAUGAUCAUCGAGUUUCAGCCUCCCUGCUAUGUGCAGCGUCGCCAACCUCCAACCUCCAGACCAGGCUGCCCAGAGCCACAUCCAGCCUGGCCUUCAAUGCCUCCAGGGAUGGGGCAUCCACAACCUCCUUGGGCAACCUGUUCCGGAGUUCAAAUACACAAUAACGUUGGCUUGAAGAUCAUCCAAACUCUGAAGAAAAGCUGGUGUUUGAACAUGGUUUCUCUAUAGUGCUUUCCCUGUGCAGCUAAGACCUUUCAAAGAUG
ensembl:lncRNA